rnacentral:rRNA from 1 species
GACGAACGCUGGCGGCGUGCUUAACACAUGCAAGUCGAACGGAAAGGCCCUGCUUUUGUGGGGUGCUCGAGUGGCGAACGGGUGAGUAACACGUGAGUAACCUGCCCUUGACUUUGGGAUAACUUCAGGAAACUGGGGCUAAUACCGGAUAGGAGCUCCUGCUGCAUGGUGGGGGUUGGAAAGUUUCGGCGGUUGGGGAUGGACUCGCGGCUUAUCAGCUUGUUGGUGGGGUAGUGGCUUACCAAGGCUUUGACGGGUAGCCGGCCUGGGAGGGUGACCGGGCCCAUGGGACGUGGGGAAGGGCCCGGACCCCACCGGGGGGAAGGGGGGGGAAAUUUUCGAAGAAGGGCGGAGGCCGGAAAGAACAACCCCGGUUGGGGAAUGACGGCCUUCGGGUUAGAAACCGUUUGGGCCUGUGAGAAAGCGGGGGGGAGGGAAAUGGGAAAAGAACCACCGGCAAACUAGGG